GAGACCACAGUAUCCUCCCAGCAUGCACNNNNNNNNNNNNNNNNNNNNNNNNNNNNNNNNNNNNNNNNNNNNNNNNNNNNNNNNNNNNNNNNNNNNNNNNNNNNNNNNNNNNNNNNNNNNNNNNNNNAGUUUCUCAUAGGAGACCACAGUAUCCUCCCAGCAUGCACUGGGGUAGAGUUUCUCAUAGGAGACCACGGCAUCCUCCCAGCAAGCACUGGGGUGAAGUUUCUCAUAUCAGAUCACAGGAUCCUCCCAGCAAGCACCAGGGCGGAGUUUCUCAUAGGAAACCACAGCAUCAUCCCAGCAUGCACCGGGGUGGAGUUUCUCAUAGGAGACCACAGCAUCCUCCCAGCAUGCACUGGGGUGGAGUUUCUCAUAGGAGACCACAGACAGACUGCUCUCUCUGUGAGGAGUCCACUCGGCACCCGGUGCGCACUUAGGGGAGGGGCAGGCACACCCACCCAGAUGCACACAGCGUCCCAUCAAGGUGGGCUCAAAACCAGGCACUUCCCCCAUGUGAGACUGCAGGGCUGUUCUUUCCAUGACCACGGAGUGCCUCCUACACGCAUACAUGCCUCAGACGCACCCCUCCGCGGUCUGGCCGGCAGCCCGUGGCGGCCGUCACGUCUGGAUCCCAGGCGCCCCACUCUGCCAGCCCACAGACGUGCGCAAGGAGAGUCGUGUGGAUGCGUCUCCCGCCGCAAGUGCAGAGAGAAAAGCUGGAAGUAGAGCACAGGGGUCCCUGGGGCUGGAGGUGGGGCAGUGCCCUGGGAAGAUGAUGGCAAGCAGGGUGCUUUUUGCCUGAAGCCUGACCCGGGCAGCAGGCUUCCCCGGACGGCAAGACCAUGAAUCUCCUGAGUCCCGAAGGAAGGGCUGCCGAGUGGUACCGUAGGUCCAGUCCGCACGGCCAAGGACAGGUGCUGGCGGCGACCCCCACCCCAUUCCUUCUGAACUGGAGUGAGGCAUUUCACCACCCCGCUGAGCUGUGUGCUCUGCGAAGAGCGGAGAACAGUGGUACCCACUCCCCGGGCUGUCGGGGGGAUUAAAGAGCUGACGUGGGUGCUACGCACACAGGAAGUUCUCCACAGGAGUGGGGUAGGGUCCGGGGCGACCUGGACUGGCUGGAGCUACCUGCCUUGCCCAGCUCUUCGCCUUGGGUCUGAAACCUGAUGUAGUAGGUGAGAGGACAAGGACCCCAAGAGAUUUAGGGACAUGCAGGAAGGAGGGGGACUCAGGGCCCCUCACCCAGGAGGCACAUUUCCCCAAGCUCUGCACAGCUUGAAUUACUGGCUGACAAUGACGGGAACUUCAGAGGCUGCCAGGUGAACACUUGUGACUUCCCUGCAACACAUUCAGUUCAGCCUGGGGCGGGGCCCAGCCUCUAGACUGGCUCCUGCCUCCUGAGUGGAUGGACCAGGCAGGAACCAACAAGAGGAACGGAAGUGCCUCAAGAGGAAGAUUUUCAAUCCCUAGCAUUUCGAACUCAAAAGAAACAGCACGUCACUCCAGCCGGAGAGGGGUAGGCUUGUGAGCACCACCAGGUGGGGAGGGGUGGGCCCGAGGCUCCGGCACUGGAGGCCUUGGCCUGGCUGCCCCGUGUUGCCCUGGGGUGGAGAGGCACUCAGAUGUCACCAGUGGGGGUGACCACUGUGUAAAGGACCUGUCUGAGACAGCACAAGAUACAUCCACCUAGAAACCCAGGCUAGAGGACCUGAGAGGGGCACCUCUCUCUCCCACACACACCCUCUCUCAGCAACUUCCAAAAGGAAAAAAAAAAUCUCUCCUGACCCUAUCGUCCCAAGGAUAGCACCUAAGUCUUCUCUAAAUUCUAAAAUUUGUCACAGUUUAGGCUCCUAAUACACACAGGUGAAAUAUCAGUAUAGUAAGUUACAGUUCAGUUGCACAGUUAUGUUCGACUCUUUUCGACCCGAUAGACUGCAGCAUGCCAGGCCUCCCUGUCCAUCACCAACUCCCGGAGUU
ensembl:lncRNA